rnacentral:rRNA from 1 species
ACUCAAAUGAAUAGACGGGGGCCCGCACAAGCAGCGGAGCAUGUGGUUUAAUUCGAAGCAACGCGAAGAACCUUACCAGGUCUUGACAUCCAAUUAAAACUGUAGAGAUACGGUGUGCCGUCAGGCGAAUUGAGACAGGUGGUGCAUGGUUGUCGUCAGCUCGUGUCGUGAGAUGUUGGGUUAAGUCCCGCAACGAGCGCAACCCUUGCGAUUGGUUGCUAACAGGUAAAGCUGAGGACUCCAAUGGGACUGCCGGGGACAACUCGGAGGAAGGUGGGGACGAGGUCAAAUCAUCAUGCCCCUUAUGACCUGGGCUACACACGUGCUACAAUGGCCAGAACAGAGAGAUGCGAAGUCGCAAGGCGGAGCGAAUCUUAGAAAACUGGCCCCAGUUCGGAUUGUGGGCUGCAACCCGCCCACAUGAAGUCGGAGUUGCUAGUAAUCGCGAAUCAGCAUGUCGCGGUGAAUACGUUCCCGGGCCUUGUACACACCGCCCGU